rnacentral:rRNA from 1 species
CGCGUAGGCGGGUCUCCAAGUCCGGGGUGAAAGCUUUCGGCUUAACCGGAAAGUGCCUUGGAUACUGGAGAUCUUGAGGGAGGUAGGGGCAGCCGGAACUUCCGGUGGAGCGGUGAAAUGCGUUGAUAUCGGAAGGAACGCCGGUGGCGAAAGCGGGCUGCUGGAUCUCUACUGACGCUGAGGCGCGAAAGCCAGGGGAGCGAACGGGAUUAGAUACCCCGGUAGUCCUGGCCCUAAACGAUGGGUACUGGGUAGGGACUUGACAUGGGUUCCCUGCCGCAGCGAAAGUGGUAAGUACCCCGCCUGGGGAGUAUGGUCGCAAGGCUGAA